rnacentral:rRNA from 1 species
UACAGAGGGGGCAAGCGUUGUUCGGAAUUACUGGGCGUAAAGGGCGCGUAGGCGGCCUGCUAAGUCGAACGUGAAAUCCCCGGGCUCAACCCGGGAACUGCGUCCGAUACUGGCAGGCUUGAAUCCGGGAGAGGGAUGCGGAAUUCCAGGUGUAGCGGUGAAAUGCGUAGAUAUCGGAAGGAACACCAGUGGCGAAAGCGGCUUCCUGGUCCAGCACCGACGUCAGGCACGAAAGCGUGGGGAGCAAACAGG